rnacentral:other from 1 species
AGAUGCCUGGAAUGUUCGUUACCCUCGUUUUUGAACCUUCAUGACAGAAACGGGAGCUCGGGUUAAUGUGGAAUAAAGUCAUACCCCCGGACUUCGGUCCGAAAGGGGAAGGCUAAAGACCACUGCAGGGCACCCACCUAGUAGAGAUGCUGGGUGUCAAAAGGGGGUACGGCAUCCCGGGCAUUCU